AAAAUGGAGGCGCAUACGUCGGAGUGGAGAGGAGAGAAAACGAACGGAGGGCUCGAACGUGUUGCAUCAGCGACAAGCAGACGCGUGUGUGUGGACGCGCUCGGGGCUUUUUUUCAUUCCAUCCGGACCAAUUUGGAGCGUUCGCUCGAGCAAGCAGAGAUGAUGCAGCAAGUGUGAUGUGACGCACAUCAGAUUCUUUUCGGGUCUUUUUGCGGUCUGGGCUUGCUGUCGAAUGGAAGUCACCAGGAAGCCCUUACCCCAAAAAGCAUCUGCAGAGGAUACGUACGUCCUGCAAGACGCUACACACACACAAAAAUCUCGUCUGCUGUACAAUGUUUG